UCGAGCGAGUCUGCCUUGAAGAUCGGAGUGCUUGCACUCUGUGAAACAAGAUACAGGCUAGCGGCGGACGGGUGAGUAACACGUGGGUAACCUGCCCAAGAGAUCGGGAUAACACCUGGAAACAGAUGCUAAUACCGGAUAACAACAGAUGAUGCCUAUCAACUGUUUAAAAGAUGGUUCUGCUAUCACUCUUGGAUGGACCUGCGGUGCAUUAGCUAGUUGGUAGGGUAACGGCCUACCAAGGCGAUGAUGCAUAGCCGAGUUGAGAGACUGAUCGGCCACAUUGGGACUGAGACACGGCCCAAACUCCUACGGGAGGCAGCAGUAGGGAAUCUUCCACAAUGGACGCAAGUCUGAUGGAGCAACGCCGCGUGAGUGAAGAAGGGUUUCGGCUCGUAAAGCUCUGUUGUUGGUGAAGAAGGACAGGGGUAGUAACUGACCUUUGUUUGACGGUAAUCAAUUAGAAAGUCACGGCUAACUACGUGCCAGCAGCCGCGGUAAUACGUAGGUGGCAAGCGUUGUCCGGAUUUAUUGGGCGUAAAGCGAGUGCAGGCGGCUCGAUAAGUCUGAUGUGAAAGCCUUCGGCUCAACCGGAGAAUUGCAUCAGAAACUGUCGAGCUUGAGUACAGAAGAGGAGAGUGGAACUCCAUGUGUAGCGGUGAAAUGCGUAGAUAUAUGGAAGAACACCGGUGGCGAAGGCGGCUCUCUGGUCUGUUACUGACGCUGAGGCUCGAAAGCAUGGGUAGCGAACAGGAUUAGAUACCCUGGUAGUCCAUGCCGUAAACGAUGAGUGCUAAGUGUUGGGAGGUUUCCGCCUCNNNGUGCUGCAGCUAACGCAUUA
rnacentral:rRNA from 1 species